rnacentral:misc_RNA from 1 species
AACGCACGAGACCUGCGGACCUGCGGAAGGAUCAUUACCGAGUUCAUGCCCUCACGGGUAGAUCUCCCACCCUUGUGUAUUCUAUGUUUGUGUUGCUUUGGCAGGCCGUGGGCCUCGCCCACCACCGGCUCUCGGGCUGGUGUGCGCCUGCCAGAGGACUCUUUAAACUCUGUUUGUUAGUGUCGUCUGAGUAUGAUAACAAUCGUUAAAACUUUCAGCAACGGAUCUCUAGAUCGGAAG